rnacentral:tRNA from 1 species
GAGAGGGGCUGGAAGCAAGGAAAACUGCUAAUUUUCCCACACUCUGGUUAAAGCCCAGGGACCACUCG